GACGAACCGUGCGAACGUUGUUCGGAAUAACUGGGCUUAAAGGGUGUGUAGGUGGCGCGCUAAGUCGGGUGUGAAAUUUCGGAGCUUAACUCCGAAACUGCAUUCGAUACUGGCGUGCUUGAGGACUGGAGAGGAGACUGGAAUUCAUGGUGUAGCAGUGAAAUGCGUAGAGAUCAUGAGGAAGACCAGUGGCGAAGGCGGGUCUCUGGACAGUUCCUGACACUGAGACACGAAGGCCAGGGGAGCAAACGGG
rnacentral:rRNA from 1 species